rnacentral:rRNA from 1 species
UACAGAGGGUGCAAGCGUUAAUCGGAAUUACUGGGCGUAAAGCGUGCGUAGUCGGUUAUUUAAGUCGGAUGUGAAAUCCCCGGGCUCAACCUGGGAAUUGCAUUCGAUACUGGAUAGCUAGAGUUCGGCAGAGGGAAGCGGAAUUUCUGGUGUAGCGGUGAAAUGCGUAGAUAUCAGAAGGAACAUCAGUGGCGAAAGCGGCUUCCUGGACCAGAACUGACGAUCAGGCAUGAAAGCGUGGGGAGCAAACAGG